AGUCUGAUGGAGCAUACCAUGUGAACGAUGAAGGCCUUUUUGGUUGUAAAGUUCUUUUACGAGGGAUAAUUAUGAUAGUACUUCGUGAAUAAGUGACAGCAAACUAUGUGCCAGCAGCUGCGGUAAUACAUAGGUCGCGAGCAUUAUUCGGAUUUAUUGGGCGUAAAGCAAGCGCAGGCGGAUGUGUAAGUUCUGUGUUAAAUGCAGCUACUCAAUAGUUGUAUGCACCGAAUACUACAUGUCUAGAUUGUGGUAGGGAGUUUCGGAAUUAAGCAUGGAGCGGUGGAAUGUGUAGAUAUGCUUAAGAACACCAGAGGCGAAGGCGGAAACUUAGGCCAUAAAUGACGCUUAGGCUUGAAAGUGUGGGGAGCAAAUGGGAUUAGAUACCCCAGUAGUCCACACCGUAAACGAUGGGUAUUAGAUAUUAGGGCUUUAGCUUUAGUGUUGUAGCUUACGCGUUAAAUACCCCGCCUGGGUAGUACAUAUGCAAAUAUGAAACUCAAAGGAAUUGACGGGGACCUGAACAAGUGGUGGAGCAUGUUGCUUAAUUCGAUAAUACACGAAAAACCUUACCAAGGUUUGACAUCCCUCGCAAAGCUAUAGAAAUAUAGUGGAGGUUAUCGAGGUGACAGGUGGUGCAUGGCUGUCGUCAGCUCGUGUCUUGAGAUGUUUGGUUAAGUCCCGCAACGAGCGCAACCCCACUCUUUAGUUACUUUUCUAAAGAGACUGCACAGUAAUGUAGAGGAAGGAUGGGAUCACGUCAAGUCAUCAUGCCCCUUAUGCCUUGGGCUGCAAACGUGCUACAAUGGCGAACACAAUGUGUUGCAAACCAGCGAUGGUAAGCUAAUCACCAAAUUUCGUCUCAGUUCGGAUAGGAGGCUGCAAUUCGCCUCCUUGA
rnacentral:rRNA from 1 species